AUUGAACGCUGGCGGCAUGCCUUACACAUGCAAGUCGAACGGCAGCACGGGAGCAAUCCUGGUGGCGAGUGGCGAACGGGUGAGUAAUAUAUCGGAACGUGCCCAGUAGUGGGGGAUAACUGCUCGAAAGAGCAGCUAAUACCGCAUACGACCUGAGGGUGAAAGGGGGGGAUCGCAAGACCUCUCGCUAUUGGAGCGGCCGAUAUCAGAUUAGCUAGUUGGUGGGGUAAAGGCCUACCAAGGCAACGAUCUGUAGUUGGUCUGAGAGGACGACCAGCCACACUGGGACGGAGACACGGCCCAGACUCCUACGGGAGGCAGCAGUGGGGAAUUUUGGACAAUGGGCGCAAGCCUGAUCCAGCAAUGCCGCGUGCAGGAAGAAGGCCUUCGGGUUGUAAACUGCUUUUGUCAGGGAAGAAAUCCUCUAGGUUAAUACCCUUGGGGGGAUGACGGUACCUGAAGAAUAAGCACCGGCUAACUACGUGCCAGCCGCCGCGGUAAUAC
rnacentral:rRNA from 1 species